AACGAACGCUGGCGGCAUGCCUAACACAUGCAAGUCGAACGAGACCUUCGGGCCUAGUGGCGCACGGGUGCGUAACGCGUGGGAACCUACCUUUAGGUUCGGAAUAACUCAGAGAAAUUUGAGCUAAUACCGGAUGAUGUCUUCGGGCCAAAGAUUUAUCGCCUUUAGAUGGGCCCGCGUUGGAUUAGCUAGUUGGUGGGGUAAAGGCCUACCAAGGCGACGAUCCAUAGCUGGUCUGAGAGGAUGAUCAGCCACACUGGGACUGAGACACGGCCCAGACUCCUACGGGAGGCAGCAGUGGGGAAUAUUGGACAAUGGGCGAAAGCCUGAUCCAGCAAUGCCGCGUGAGUGAUGAAGGCCUUAGGGUUGUAAAGCUCUUUUACCCGAGAUGAUAAUGACAGUAUCGGGAGAAUAAGCUCCGGCUAACUCCGUG
rnacentral:rRNA from 1 species